rfam:Schistosoma mansoni, Puerto Rico, WGS project CABG01000000 data, contig: 0111
GUACUCAUCAGAAGUACAUGUAUUAAAAUUUAAACCGUAUAGAGAAGAAUAGAAUGAAUAUUGAUCACGGAUAACACAUAAACUCAUAGAGCGCUUCAUAUUUUU